rnacentral:rRNA from 1 species
UUUAUAGCCUCUGGCUAUAGGAAAUUGUUAGUGGCAGACGGGUGAGUAAUGCGAAGGAAUCUACCUAGUAGUACGGAAUAGCCAUUAGAAAUGGUGGGUAAUACUGUAUAAUCCCCGAGGGGGAAAGAUUUAUCGCUAUUAGAUGAGCCUACGCUAGAUUAGCUAGUUGGUGAGGUAAUGGCUUACCAAGGCUAUGAUCUAUAGCUGGUCUGAGAGGACGAUCAGCCACACGGGAACUGAGAUACGGUCCAGACUCCUACGGGAGGCAGCGGUGGGGAAUAUUGGACAAAGGGCGAAAGCCCGAUCCAGCUAUGCCGCGUGAGUGAAGAAGGCCUUCGGGUUGUAGACUCUUUCAAUAGGGAAGAUAAUGACGGUACCUAUAGAAGAAGUCCCGGCAAACUCUGUGCCAGCAGCCGCGGUAAUACGGAGGGGGCAAGCGUUGUUCGGAAUUAUCGGGCGUAAAGGGCACGUAGGUGGACUAGUAAGUUAAAAGUG